GACGAACGCUGGCGGCGUGCUUAACACAUGCAAGUCGAACGGAAAGGCCCUGCUUUUGUGGGGUGCUCGAGUGGCGAACGGGUGAGUAACACGUGAGUAACCUGCCCUUGACUUUGGGAUAACUUCAGGAAACUGGGGCUAAUACCGGAUAGGAGCUCCUGAUGCAUGGUGGGGGUUGGAAAGUUUCGGCGGGUGGGGAUGGACUCGCGGCUUAUCAGCUUGUUGGUGGGGUAGUGGCUUACCAAGGCUUUGACGGAUAGCCGGCCUGAGAGGGUGACCGGCGACAUUGGGACUGAGAGACGGCGCAGACUGGUACGGGAGGCAGCAGUGGGGAAUAUUGCACAAUGGGCGGAAGCCUGAUGCAGCAACGCCGCGUGCGGGAUGACGGCCUGCGGGGUGUAAACCGCUUUCGCCUGUGACGAAGCGUGAGUGACGGUAAUGGGUGAAGAAGCACCGGCUAACUACGUG
rnacentral:rRNA from 1 species